AAAUUGAAGAGUUUGAUCAUGGCUCAGAUUGAACGCUGGCGGCAGGCCUAACACAUGCAAGUCGAGCGGUAGCACAGAGAGCUUGCUCUCGGGUGACGAGCGGCGGACGGGUGAGUAAUGUCUGGGAAACUGCCUGAUGGAGGGGGAUAACUACUGGAAACGGUAGCUAAUACCGCAUAACGUCGCAAGACCAAAGUGGGGGACCUUCGGGCCUCAUGCCAUCAGAUGUGCCCAGAUGGGAUUAGCUAGUAGGUGGGGUAACGGCUCACCUAGGCGACGAUCCCUAGCUGGUCUGAGAGGAUGACCAGCCACACUGGAACUGAGACACGGUCCAGACUCCUACGGGAGGCAGCAGUGGGGAAUAUUGCACAAUGGGCGCAAGCCUGAUGCAGCCAUGCCGCGUGUAUGAAGAAGGCCUUCGGGUUGUAAAGUACUUUCAGCGGGGAGGAAGGCGAUAAGGUUAAUAACCUUGUCGAUUGACGUUACCCGCAGAAGAAGCACCGGCUAACUCCGUGCCAGCAGCCGCGGUAAUACGGAGGGUGCAAGCGUUAAUCGGAAUUACUGGGCGUAAAGCGCACGCAGGCGGUCUGUCAAGUCGGAUGUGAAAUCCCCGGGCUCAACCUGGGAACUGCAUUCGAAACUGGCAGGCUAGAGUCUUGUAGAGGGGGGUAGAAUUCCAGGUGUAGCGGUGAAAUGCGUAGAGAUCUGGAGGAAUACCGGUGGCGAAGGCGGCCCCCUGGACAAAGACUGACGCUCAGGUGCGAAAGCGUGGGGAGCAAACAGGAUUAGAUACCCUGGUAGUCCACGCCGUAAACGAUGUCGAUUUGGAGGUUGUGCCCUUGAGGCGUGGCUUCCGGAGCUAACGCGUUAAAUCGACCGCCUGGGGAGUACGGCCGCAAGGUUAAAACUCAAAUGAAUUGACGGGGGCCCGCACAAGCGGUGGAGCAUGUGGUUUAAUUCGAUGCAACGCGAAGAACCUUACCUGGUCUUGACAUCCACAGAACUUAGCAGAGAUGCUUUGGUGCCUUCGGGAACUGUGAGACAGGUGCUGCAUGGCUGUCGUCAGCUCGUGUUGUGAAAUGUUGGGUUAAGUCCCGCAACGAGCGCAACCCUUAUCCUUUGUUGCCAGCGGUCCGGCCGGGAACUCAAAGGAGACUGCCAGUGAUAAACUGGAGGAAGGUGGGGAUGACGUCAAGUCAUCAUGGCCCUUACGACCAGGGCUACACACGUGCUACAAUGGCAUAUACAAAGAGAAGCGACCUCGCGAGAGCAAGCGGACCUCAUAAAGUAUGUCGUAGUCCGGAUUGGAGUCUGCAACUCGACUCCAUGAAGUCGGAAUCGCUAGUAAUCGUAGAUCAGAAUGCUACGGUGAAUACGUUCCCGGGCCUUGUACACACCGCCCGUCACACCAUGGGAGUGGGUUGCAAAAGAAGUAGGUAGCUUAACCUUCGGGAGGGCGCUUACCACUUUGUGAUUCAUGACUGGGGUGAAGUCGUAACAAGGUAACCGUAGGGGAACCUGCGGUUGGAUCACCUCCUUA
rnacentral:rRNA from 1 species